rnacentral:lncRNA from 1 species
ACCAAUGACCUCACUGUUGGUGGAUUUUUAGAAAAUCAUGAGGAGCCAAGAGAUAAAGAACAAUGUGCUGAAGAGAACAUACCAGCAUCUUCACUCAACAAAGGAAAGAAAUUGAUGCAUUGCAGAAGCCAUGAAGAGGUCAAUACUGAACUAAAAGCACAAAUAAUGAAAGAGAUCCGAAAGCCAGGAAGAAAAUAUGAAAGAAUCUUCACUUUACUGAAGCAUGUGCAAGGCAGUUUACAAACAAGACUAAUAUUUUUACAAAAUGUCAUUAAAGAAGCAUCAAGGUUUAAAAAACGAAUGCUAAUAGAACAACUGGAGAACUUCUUGGAUGAAAUUCAUCGAAGAGCCAAUCAGAUCAACCAUAUUAAUAGCAAUUAAAAGAAAAUAGAAUGUGGCCACUUAUUUCACUAUCUUCUUCAAAUACAAAAUGGGAAAAUCAAGACUUAAAGAGUUUAAGAAACUUGCCCAAGAUGACAUAAUGAGUAUGUGAUGGACCUCGAUUCAAAUCAAGCCUGUGUGUGUGCAGAGCCCAUGCUCUAGUCACCUACAUUUUGCUACCUCCCAUCUCGUGUGGCAUCUCACAUAUAGUAGGUGCAGAAAAGAGGCUGUUGACUAAUUGCCUUAUUGACAAUUAAUAGAGUAUUUUAUUUAAUAGAGUGUUUAUACUGGAUAAAAUAUAUUUUCAUA